rnacentral:rRNA from 1 species
GACGAACGCUGGCGGCGUGCUUAACACAUGCAAGUCGAACGGAAAGGCCCUGCUUGCCGGGUACUCGAGUGGCGAACGGGUGAGUAACACGUGGGUGAUCUGCCCUGCACUUCGGGAUAAGCCUGGGAAACUGGGUCUAAUACCGGAUAGGAGCCAUUUUUAGUGUGAUGGUUGGAAAGUUUUUUCGGUGUAGGAUGAGCUCGCGGCCUAUCAGCUUGUUGGUGGGGUAAUGGCCUACCAAGGCGGCGACGGGUAGCCGGCCUGAGAGGGUGGACGGCCACAUUGGGACUGAGAUACGGCCCAGACGCCUACGGGAGGCAGCAGGGGGGAAGAUUGAACAAUGGGCGCAAGCCGGAUGCAGCGACGCCGCGGGGGGGAUGACGGCCUUCGGGUUGUAAACACCUUUCGCUAGGGACGAAGCUUUUUGUGACGGUACCUAGAUAAGAAGCACCGGCUAACUACGUG